AAGGGAAUAUCUGAAGAUUGUCUCUCUCUAUGGGAGUACAUGAACUUGAUUUAACCAGGACAUCUGAAGCAUCGAGAGUUUAACAUCACAGAGAAUUGUAGGUGAACCCCAGGGUGCUAAUAUCUGCUCUGCUUUAUAUCUUUCAGGAUGUGAUUUCACAUGACUGUUCAUCUCCAAUCGCCUCGUGAUUGUGGAGACUAAGGAUUUACACUGCAGUAACUUACCAACUGAAAAGACUUGCUGCUGUCUACUGUCCGGCAUUGAAAAGCUUCUUCCUGCCCUCCAUGCCUGACAUGGCCUCCACGUUUUUCCUCCAGUCGGUGACCUCCUCCUUCUGAUGGAGAGAAAAUGCUUCAGUGAGACAAAGACAGAGAUGAGAGUAACUCAAAUGGUUGCACAGCCGCGGUGAACCGUGCACGCAUCAGACAGACAGACGGGGCGGUUCAAAUGCCAGCAUUUCAUCAGCACCGGGCACUUGAUUUCUAAAAUAACUCAUCUCUUCAGACACAGCACAUCUGAGCAAAUGAGCUGAAAACAGCCAGAUGGGCUCCUGGUGUCUCAAAUACACGUGUUAUAGCAUUGA